UCAAUGCUCGCAAGAGUGAACUAGCUAACUGAAAUCCUUGAUGUGCCAUCGAGGAUAACGUAAGGGAAAAUAAUGAUAUUACCUUACUAUUAGUGUCGUCCAAGUGCUCGUGCCAGAAGACUCGGUAAGGCGAGAGACGCAAACGUUAUUCGUCUUGAUCAGGCGUAAAGGGUUUGUAGGCGGCUUUAAGUAUCUAAUUUUAAGUUUACUGUUUUAAUGCUAAUUAAUAGGAUUUAUUUAAUUUAGCAUUUUAAUAUUUAUUAAAAGAUCAAUUAAAGCUAGAAUCUAGCAGAGGUUAAAACAAUACUUAAGGUAGGAGUACUAACCAUAAAUAAUAAGCAGAGUUUUAAGGGCGAAGGCUUUUAUCCACUACAGAUUGACGCUGAGAAACGAAGGUGAGGACAGAAAAAAGGAUUAGAGACCCUUGUAUCCCUCACUGUCAACGAUGAAUGGUAGUUACUAGGGAGAAAUGACCUAGAGACGAUGUUAACACGAAAACCAUUCCGCCUUGUGAGUACGACUGCAAAGUUGAAAACAAAAAAAUUAGUCGGUUUCGGAGCAAACGAAGUGAAGCAUGUUA
rnacentral:rRNA from 1 species